rnacentral:ncRNA from 1 species
AAAAAGGCUAAGAAAAGAAGAGUACAUCUUGGAUGGUUUUACAGAGAACCUCUGGUAGCUGCGAAGGAGGAAACACGGAAAAGAUGGAAGAUGGUCUUGGAGCCGCGCACCGAGAGGAAAUCCUUUAGGCUGCGACGGGGGUGCCCGUGACAGCACUACGAUAUCGGCAGUUUUGCCCGUACCGGAUAAGGUCAUCAUCGUGAGGUGAUGAUAAAUUAGGGUGGUAACACGAAGCUAUGCUCUCGUCCCUUGA